AUACAAGUCAGAUUCCUUUUCGC
rnacentral:miRNA from 1 species